rnacentral:rRNA from 1 species
UACGUAGGUGGCAAGCGUUGUCCGGAAUUAUUGGGCGUAAAGCGCGCGCAGGCGGUCCUUUAAGUCUGAUGUGAAAGCCCUCGGCUCAACCGAGGAGGGUCAUUGGAAACUGGAGGACUUGAGUGCAGAAGAGGAAAGUGGAAUUCCAAGUGUAGCGGUGAAAUGCGUAGAGAUUUGGAGGAACACCAGUGGCGAAGGCGACUUUCUGGUCUGUAAACGUGACGCCUGAGGCGGCCGAAAAGCGGUGGGGAGGCCAAACC